UACGUAGGCAGCAAGCGUUGUUCGGAGUUACUGGGCGUAAAGAGCGCGUAGGCGGCGCGGUACGACCGCUGUGAAAGCCCCCAGCUCAACUGGGGAGGGUCAGCGGUAACGGCCGUGCUAUGAGUGCAGGAGAGGGAAGUGGAACUCCGGGAGUAGCGGUGAAAUGCGUAGAGACCCGGAGGAACACCAAUGGCGAAGGCAAUGUUCUGGCUCGUUUCUGACGCUCAGGUGCGAAAGCCAGGGGAGCGAACGGG
rnacentral:rRNA from 1 species